AGAGAAAACACAAAUCAAAGAAGGAUCUGUACUCACUGCACCUUUCCUUUUCGUUCUCUUUCUCUCAAAGGUUUAGAUUUUAGAUCUGGAUCUUGAUCUAUUCACCAUAAGCUAUUGUUCCUGAGGAUCUGGACACCUUCCCUAAGAUGUUGAAGAUGGAUCCCUAGCCGUCGCAUCUGGUGAAGACGAUGGUUUUCCCUAAGAUGGUUGAAGAUGGAGUCCCAAGCCCUAACAAUGUCACAAUCGGAGCUCAUUGAUCAUGCCGAUAUGGACUUUUUAUUGCCUCCUCAAGCUGCUGCAGUAGUCAGACAUAUGAGCGAUAUUCCUCGGGUCACUGGAUAGCGACGCUUGAACCUACGGAUUAUUUUACGACAUAACAGGCUUGAUAUUUACAUGUGAAGUCAGGCAAAAUGAUCAAAUGUGUAAAGAAGAAAGUGCCACUCCUGAGACUAACCAUGUCAACAUAGAAGUUAUCGGAGGCUUAACAUCGUACACUGCUGGUUCUCCUGCUUCUAAGCUUGCUGUCAUUUUGAUUUCUGAUAUAUAUGGACGUACAGUGGGACUAAAGAAUUGGGUGAGGAUAACUUUUGCCGCAGAACCAUCUUCACUUGAAGAAGCACUUGAAAGAGUAAAGUCCUUUUCCUAUAGGCAUUCUUAUAAACAAAAUGGUUCAGUUGAUCCAUGAUUGAAGAAACAACCAUGCCGUCUUGAAGCCUUUCUGUCGUUACGCCAGGAGAUUCAAAUGAUCCAAUUGAAGAAAGGAUUAUAAGAAUGUGGACAUCACAGAUACAGAACAACGAUUGUUGCUAUCUUUUUGUAGACUUGGCUGGUAUGUGCAGAUCCUUCAGCAACGUUCUGGUUUCAUAGACAUUGACAAUAUCAAUCCAGAUGCUUGGCCUGCACUCAUAGCAGAUUUAUCAAUAGGCGAAAAUGGAAUCGUAAGCCUUGCAUUUGGUGAGUAUAAGUUAUGAUCGGGUCCAUUUGGUUGUGUUUUAUCGCAAACGGUUGUGUUUUAUCGCAAACGAGAGGUGGUAGAGAUGACCAAGAACAAAAGCGGACACAUGAUCUUCUAAGCAUAUGAAAACAAGAGUGUUUGACCUGAAAGUUGUAUGAAUUGGGGGGUUAGUUUUAAGUUUCUUUUUUACUUUUUAAUGUUGAAGUAUCUAACUAUUAAGGUUGUUUUGGUAUGUAAUAUGUGCAUGGUAUGAUUGGUUUUUUUGGGAGAUUUAA